AAAGCUUUAAUAGCUUAUUGCAUUAGUUAUCGGAUACAUCAAAUAGAUUAGCAUUAGUUUAGAAUUCUAAUAAUUCUGGCGAAACUACAUAUUGAUCAAUCAGCGCGCACCUGCUCACGUCGACGCCGUUCGCACCUCCGGCCGGCCAACGAAUCGCUGCCGUUCCCAUCCGCUGUCUCGCCCUCUCGCCGCCAACCAAGCUUCAAGUUUGUGAUUUUGGUUUAUAAUCUAAUUCUGGCGAAACCACAUAUUGAUCAAUCAGCGCGCACCUGCUCACGUCGACGCCGUUGGCACCUCCGGCCGGCUAACGAAUCGCUGCCGUUCCCAUGUGCUGUCUCGCCCUCUCGCCGUCAACCGUCUAGGGCUCUAUAUGUCGCUCUCCAGUCAGGUAGGAUACACUAAUUAUGAGCAUGGAAGUUACAUUGCGCAAAACAAUCUCAUUUUCAGCUAAUGAAGUAUAUAGACAAAGAAAAAAUCUACAAAGGCAAAAGAAACGUAAACGAAAUGCAAG